CGUAGGUGGUUUUUUAAGUUGGAUGUGAAAGCCCUGGGCUCAACCUAGGAACUGCAUCCAAAACUAGAUGACUAGAGUACGAAAGAGGGAAGUAGAAUUCACAGUGUAGCGGUGGAAUGCGUAGAUAUUGUGAAGAAUACCAAUGGCGAAGGCAGCUUCCUGGUUCUGUACUGACACUGAGGUGCGAAAGCGUGGGUAGCGAACAGGAUUAGAUACCCUGGUAGUCCACGCCGUAAACGAUGACAACUAGCUGUUGGGAGACAAGAUCUCUCAGUGGCGCAGCUAACGCUUUAAGUUGUCCGCCUGGGGAGUACGGCCGCAAGGUUAAAACUCAAAUGAAUUGACGGGGACCCGCACAAGCGGUGGAGCAUGUGGUUUAAUUCGAUGCAACGCGAAAAACCUUACCUACUCUUGACAUACUUGGAAGCUCUUGUAAUGAGAGUGUGCUUUUAGAGCCAAGAUACAGGUGCUGCAUGGCUGUCGUCAGCUCGUGUCGUGAGAUGUUGGGUUAAGUCCCAUAACGAGCGCAACCCUUACCCUUAUUUGCCAGCGGUUCGGCCGGGAACUAUAAGGGGACUGCCGGUGACAAACCGGAGGAAGGUGAGGACGACGUCAAGUCAUCAUGGCCCUUACGAGUAGGGCUACACACGUGCUACAAUGGGGAAUACAGACGGACGCUAAAGCGUGAGCUGGUGCCAAUCCUAAAAAAUUUCUCGUAGUCCGGAUUGCAGUCUGCAACUCGACUGCAUGAAGUCGGAAUCGCUAGUAAUCGCGAAUCAGCAUGUCGCGGUGAAUACGUUCUCGGGUCUUGUACACACCGCCCGUCACACCAUGGAAGUGUGUUGCACCAGAAGUAGGUAGUCUAACCUUCGGGAAGGCGCUUACCACGGUGUGAUCCAUGACUGGGGUGAAGUCGUAACAAGGUAGCCGUA
rnacentral:rRNA from 1 species